rnacentral:rRNA from 1 species
AACGAACGCUGGCGGCAUGCCUAACACAUGCAAGUCGAACGAGACCUUCGGGGCUAGUGGCGCACGGGUGCGUAACGCGUGGGAACCUGCCCUUAGGUUCGGAAUAACUCCCCGAAAGGGGUGCUAAUACCGGCUAAUGUCUUCGGACCAAAGAUUUAUCGCCUUUGGAUGGGCCCGCGUUGGAUUAGCCAGUUGGUAGGGUAAAAGCCUACCAAGGCGACGAUCCAUAGCUGGUCAGAGAGGAUGAUCAGCCACACUGGGACUGAGACACGGCCCAGACUCCUACGGGAGGCAGCAGUGGGGGAUAUUGGAAAAUGGGCGGAAGCCUGAUCCAGCAAUGCCGCGUGAGUGAUGAAGGCCUUAGGGUUGUAAAGCUCUUUUACCCGGGAUGAUAAUGACAGUACCGGGAGAAUAAGCUCCGGCUAACUCCGUG